rnacentral:tRNA from 1 species
AGAGAUUUAGGUUACAUCAAACCAAGGACCUUCAAAGUCCAAAACAGGGAAUAAUCCCCUAAUUUCUG